ACAAGCGGUGGAUGAUGUGGAUUAAUUCGAUGCAACGCGAAAAACCUUACCUACCCUUGACAUGCCAGGAACCCUGCUGAGAGGUGGGGGUGCUCGAAAGAGAGCCUGGGCACAGGUGCUGCAUGGCUGUCGUCAGCUCGUGUUCUUGGAAAAUGUUGGGUUAAGUCCCGCAACGAGCGCAACCCUUGUCAUUAGUUGCCAUCAUUUGGUUGGGCACUCUAAUGAGACUGCCGGUGACAAACCGGAGGAAGGUGGGGAUGACGUCAAGUCCUCAUGGCCCUUAUGGGUAGGGCUUCACACGUCAUACAAUGGUCGGUACAGAGGGUUGCCAAGCCGCGAGGUGGAGCCAAUCCCAGAAAGCCGAUCGUAGUCCGGAUCGUAGUCUGCAACUCGACUGCGUGAAGUCGGAAUCGCUAGUAAUCGUGGAUCAGCAUGCCACGGUGAAUACGUUCCCGGGUCUUGUACACACCGCCCGUCACACCAUGGGAGUGGGUUUCACCAGAAGUAGGUAGCCUAACCGCGAGGGGGGCGCUUACCACGGUGGGAUUCAUGACUGGGG
rnacentral:rRNA from 1 species